AGAGUUUGAUCAUGGCUCAGGAUGAACGCUGGCGGCGUGCUUAACACAUGCAAGUCGAACGAACCUUCGGGUUAGUGGCGGACGGGUGAGUAACGCGUGGGAAUCUGCCCUCAGGAGGGGGAUAACGGUUGGAAACGACCGCCAAUACCCCAUAUGCCGAGAGGUGAAAUGAAUUUCGCCUGAGGAUGAGCCCGCGUCUGAUUAGCUUGUUGGUGAGGUAAUGGCUCACCAAGGCAUCGAUCAGUAGCUGGUCUGAGAGGAUGAUCAGCCACACUGGGACUGAGACACGGCCCAGACUCCUACGGGAGGCAGCAGUGGGGAAUUUUCCGCAAUGGGCGAAAGCCUGACGGAGCAACGCCGCGUGAGGGACGAAGGCCUCUGGGCUGUAAACCUCUUUUCUCAAGGAAGAAGAUAUGACGGUACUUGAGGAAUAAGCCACGGCUAAUUCCGUGCCAGCAGCCGCGGUAAUACGGGAGUGGCAAGCGGUAUCCGGAAUUAUUGGGCGUAAAGCGUCCGCAGGCGGCCUUUCAAGUCUGCUGUUAAAACGUGGAGCUUAACUCCAUCAUGGCAGUGGAAACUGAUCGGCUUGAGUAUGGUAGGGGCAGAGGGAAUUCCCGGUGUAGCCGGUGAAAUGCGUAGAUAUCGGGAAGAACACCAGUGGCGAAGGCGCUCUGCUGGGGCCAUUACUGACGC
rnacentral:rRNA from 1 species